rnacentral:rRNA from 1 species
GAUGAACGCUGGCGGCGUGCCUAAUACAUGCAAGUCGAGCGAACAGAUGAGGAGCUUGCUCCUCUGACGUUAGCGGCGGACGGGUGAGUAACACGUGGAUAACCUACCUAUAAGACUGGGAUAACUUCGGGAAACCGGAGCUAAUACCGGAUAAUAUAUUGAACCGCAUGGUUCAAUAGUGGAAGACGGUUUUGCUGUCACUUAUAGAUGGAUCCGCGCCGCAUUAGCUAGUUGGUAAGGUAACGGCUUACCAAGGCAACGAUGCGUAGCCGACCUGAGAGGGUGAUCGGCCACACUGGAACUGAGACACGGUCCAGACUCCUACGGGAGGCAGCAGUAGGGAAUCUUCCGCAAUGGGCGAAAGCCUGACGGAGCAACGCCGCGUGAGUGGUGAAGGUCUUCGGAUCGUAAAACUCUGUUAUUAGGGAAGAACAAAUGUGUAAGUAACUAUGCACGUCUUGACGGUACCUAAUCAGAAAGCCACGGCUAACUACGUG